UCACUGGUAUCGGUUGUCGUUUCAAACUGCAAGUCAUAAACCUCUGCCUAUCAAGCAGAUUUACACGGGGCAGAAGCACACAACUGAGAUCAAAGCAAAGGCAAUUCAACCACAUGGUGAUGCAAGGCCUUGUUUGCCCACUAUAAAAGAAGAACAAAAGAAAGAUGUCGAAAACAUUCUGGAGGGACAUAAAGAAAUCCCCAGACGAAAAACCCAAAUUUACCUAUGGACGAAGGAGAUGUGGUUUUCGUAAGCAAUGGCAGAAAUAAAAGCAAAAUUGACAUGUUAGAGUUGACAAAAUUAAAGUUUAAGAUAUUGUAGAAUGGGCCUAGAAAAAAGUGAAUACUAUAACCAGUUUUCAUGUGCCAAAACU
rnacentral:sRNA from 1 species